rnacentral:misc_RNA from 1 species
AAGUCGUAACAAGGUCUUCGUAGGUGAACCUGCGGAGGGAUCAUUAGUGAUUUCCAGGGGAGUCCCUCUUCAUCAGAGAAGGCCCCGUCACUAUACCUUACACUUGUGCAUUUGUCCUUUUUUUUAACUCUGUGCAUUUGAAGCCGUCUUGUGAUAAAACCUUUGAUAAACGAAGAAAAACUUUCAGCAAUGGAUCUCUUGGCUCUC